ACUCCUACGGGAGGCAGCAGUGGGGAAUAUUGCACAAUGGGCGCAAGCCUGAUGCAGCCAUGCCGCGUGUAUGAAGAAGGCCUUCGGGUUGUAAAGUACUUUCAGCAGUGAGGAAGGUGGGUAUGUUAAUAGCAUACUCAUUUGACGUUAGCUGCAGAAGAAGCACCGGCUAACUCCGUGCCAGCAGCCGCGGUAAUACGGAGGGUGCGAGCGUUAAUCGGAAUUACUGGGCGUAAAGCGCAUGCAGGUGGUUUGUUAAGUCAGAUGUGAAAGCCCGGGGCUCAACCUCGGAAUUGCAUUUGAAACUGGCAAACUAGAGUACUGUAGAGGGGGGGUAGAAUUUCAGGUGUAGAGGUGAAAUGCGUAGAGAUCUGAAGGAAUACCGGUGGCGAAGGCGGCCCCCUGGGACAGGAUACCUGACACUCAGAUGCGAAAGCGUGGGGAGCAAACNGGAUUAGAUACCCUGGUAGGCUCAG
rnacentral:rRNA from 1 species